CUCCCCUGCAGAGACCACCUCGCUCCCGGGACUCGCCAGCGAGGGAUGCCGCCGGCCGCCGGGGGCCUUCUCCAGGACCAGGAGAGAAAUCCUCUCUCCGCUUCACGACGCGGCCACUCCCACCCCUGAGACGCCCACCUGGCGGACUCUGAGGGAGGAUUCGGCUGCGUCUAAUACCACCUCCACCCCUCAUCCCUCACAAUGCGCGGAAAACCACAGGCGGCUGUGCGCGCAGCGUCGGCUCAGCCACCGCAGCUCCUCCCCUGGGAUGAAAAAGCACUCUGACGUCUUGAAAGCUGGCAGCUCUCUGUUUGGAAAAUCUCUGCCCAGUGAAAAAAUGUACCGACAAGAUUACUAAGUAACACAGUCUUCUGGGAAUGCCUUAUCAAUGCCAGCUAUUUGAAGAGCACCCAAAGUCAAACUAGUGCUCCGCGCUGGCAGUCUGGAAAAGGCAGAUGUAUAAACCAAAAAGGAUGGAGUUCAGAGACCUUCCAUGUUGAUGAACAAGAACACAUUCACCUGCUGUAGGGGUAGGUGUACCCCAAAACUCCACUGAUACAGAAGCUUCUAUACUCAAGACCCUUCUAUACUCAAGACCCUGGAUCUUACCCUAUAUAUCUCUUCAUCUGGCUAUUUAUUUGCAUCUUUUAAUAUAUCCUUUGUAAUAAACUAGUAAUCUAGAAAGCAAACUUUUCCUAGCUCUGUAGGCCAUUCUAGUAAAUGAUUAAACCUGAGGAGGAGUUAUGGGAACCUUUGAUUUGUAGACAAGUUGGACAAAAGUGGUAUAUAUCCUAAUAUAACAUGGGAACCUGCCACUUAUGAUUGGCGUGUGAAAUUGGGGGAUGGGGAAGCAGUCUUGUGGGACUGAGCCCUUAGCCUGUGGGGUCUAAUGCUAUCUUCAGGUAAUAUCAGAACUGAGUUAAAUUAUAGGAUACCAGUCAGUGUCCAUUGGAGAACUGAAUUAUUGUGAGGAGAAACCCACACAUUUGGUGGCUAAAAGUAUUGAUGUGAGUAGUAGCAUAUAGGAGUUUUUUGCUAUAUACAUAUGUAGUGUAAGUUUAAAGUAAAAAGUUUUGUAUUGUCAGGAGUGACUUCUUUGCACCUAAAUAUCACUGCUAUAACUGCGUUACUAAGGAAUAGUUGCUUGCUUUUAUGUAUUUGGCACCUGCAGCUACUGUUCUAAAAAGUUUGCAUGUGUUAACCUAUUAAUUAAAUCUACAAAUGACUGGCUGUACCCAUGAAGUGAGUUAUUCUAAAGACAAUGGAACAUUUAAAUGGUUUAGAAAUUUUUUGAUUAAAAAUACAUUAAUAAUAUCUCCUAAA
rnacentral:lncRNA from 10 species